rnacentral:lncRNA from 1 species
UCGCGCCGGUUGCAGCCGUGUGUUGUGAGGUUUCCGGUAUCGCGUAUACAUCUCCGUUUUUUUUAGUUCAGUGCUUAGUUAGCUUCUUGGAUCUACGGAUCAUGGCUGAACCUUGCUGUUCUUACAUACCACCGCGAGAACCUUCUCUAGGGUUAUAGUAUAUGUUUACUGUUUAGCCUGGAACUUUGCUAAUUAAAAGGCUUUGGGUUCAAUGUGCUGAGAAAAAAAGGGGUUGUUUGUCUUCAGACUACUACUUCAGUUGCUGUGUUUUACUGCAGUAGAAAAUAGUACGAGAGGAUUAGACUCUCCACUGGCUUGCUCCUACGAUUCUACGAGCAUAUGUUGUCGCGGUAAACAUGGUCUUAAGGGUGAUUUAAUGGAAGAUGCUGUUACUAAAGGGCGUGGUCAAGGUAGUCGUACGCCGUAUAUGUAACUCUCAGUCCACAGCUGUAAAAGUCAAGAAGUACACGAGGAUGUGUUUCCAUCACUGACUUCAUUAGUUUGUUCGUAGUUUUUAUUUUGUGUUCAACACGGAUUACUAAUUAUAUUUCCAGCAUUAAGCUUAGAACUUUAUUUUGCUGCCAAUUUUGAGUGGUUAGGAUGGAACUUUCUGGAACGUUUAGUUUGAUUUGAUACGGUAUUGUUUGCCCAAGUCCAUGCUUCUAGUGUCAAAGUUUCACUUAAUCAACACAUUUUUUUCCUCUCAAAAUGCAAAUCAUAAAUGUGUGUAUCUUGCAAUCAGGAAGUAUAAAGAUUAUGCUAACAUUUUUUCUGUCAGGAGUAGCUGGCCAGAAGGUCAUAGUAGUUUGAUCAUCGAUGCUAUGCUAGCCUGUUUGUUCUUCACUUCCAUAUAGUUUCGUAGUGGAACGGUUGAUAUCUAUAUCCAGGGAAAAGGAACAAUUUCGACUCAUUAUGUAGUUCCAGUGUGGUCCAUUCGAACUCAACUAUAUAUAUGCGCCACUUAAACUGACUUUGAAUGUGCGCCACUCAAACUGAACUGAAGUAUGCUAUUAAAACUCAAAUUUAGUUGUAUCUUCCCUAUGUACACUCAGUGAGAUGUUUCCUUGCCAUUCAAACUGGACGGCUCUUGUUAGGUUGCAGUUUGAAACUUGCCUUUUGAAAGGAGCAUUACAAACUCCAAAUCCAUGCUGAAAAAAUGUGACAACCUUUGGGCUGUACCUAUCUAGCUGCUUAAUUUAGUACACACGCUUGAUAGCUACUGGUAACAGCUGCCCAUGUGACAGCAGAGUGCAUCCACGCAUGUUCCCACCUGCUACUAUUUUCUUUCUGUUCAAAGUAUUCAUUCAUCAGAGUUGCAGCUGCCACUAUGUGAAAAAAGCUUAAAUUCGCAUGUCAUGUAUAAGAACUAUUAAACAUGCGUCUGUAAUAAGAAUUAACACAGACGUCUGUUGAAUCACAAGCGUCUGUAAUAAGAGUCUCAAUAAACACACGUCUCUGAUUAUCAUGAACACAGACGCGCAUUGCACAGGCGAAAAUUACAGACGUUUGUUUGGUGUACACGUCUGCAAUAUUCUUAUCUCAGACGUGCGUUUAAAGAGGUGUCUGUCCUAUUGUUUUGGAGCUGUGGGCCUCUAGCCGAAUUGGGCCUGUUUGAGUUGGGCCUAGUGUCCAGUUGAUAUUCUUUUAUACUAGUGGGCAUGCACCAUGCGUGAUGUGUCCAUGUUUAGCUACGGCUAGCUCUCACCUACCUUUCCUCUUUGAUUUUGAACAUGAACUGCAGCACU